rnacentral:piRNA from 1 species
CAAAACCCAAAAUAGCCUGCCU